rnacentral:rRNA from 1 species
CCUACGGGGGGCAGCAGUGAGGAAUAUUGGACAAUGGGUUAGCGCCUGAUCCAGCCAUCCCGCGUGAAGGACGACGGCCCUAUGGGUUGUAAACUUCUUUUGUAUAGGGAUAAACCUACUCUCGUGAGAGUAGCUGAAGGUACUAUACGAAUAAGCACCGGCUAACUCCGUGCCAGCAGCCGCGGUAAUACGGAGGGUGCAAGCGUUAUCCGGAUUUAUUGGGUUUAAAGGGUCCGUAGGCGGAUCUGUAAGUCAGUGGUGAAAUCUCACAGCUU